UACGGGGGGAGCAAGCGUUGUUCGGAUUUACUGGGCGUAAAGGGCGCGUAGGCGGCCACCGCAAGUCACUUGUGAAAUCUCCGGGCUUAACCCGGAAAGGUCAACUGAUACUGCGGGGCUAGAGUGCAGAAGGGGCAACUGGAAUUCUCGGUGUAGCGGUGAAAUGCGUAGAUAUCGAGAGGAACACCUGCGGCGAAGGCGGGUUGCUGGGCUGACACUGACGCUGAAGCGCGAAAGCUAGGGGAGCGAACGGG
rnacentral:rRNA from 1 species